GUGAGUAGUUCAGAGUUUGAUCCUGGCUCAGGAUGAACGCUGGCGGCGUGCCUAACACAUGCAAGUCGAGCGAGAUACUGAUGAUUGAAACUUCGGUAGAUUGAUUCAGUGGAAAGCGGCGGACGGGUGAGUAACGCGUAGGCAACCUGCCCCUUACACAGGGAUAGCCAUUGGAAACGAUGAUUAAAACCUGAUGACACCUUGAGAUGACAUCUUCUUGAGGUCAAAGAUUUAUCGGUAAGGGAUGGGCCUGCGUCUGAUUAGAUAGUUGGUGAGGUAACGGCCCACCAAGUCAACGAUCAGUAGCCGACCUGAGAGGGUGAUCGGCCACAUUGGAACUGAGACACGGUCCAA
rnacentral:rRNA from 1 species